UUGGAGGGCAAGUCUGGUGCCAGCAGCCGCGGUAAUUCCAGCUCCAAUAGCGUAUAUUAAAGUUGUUGCAGUUAAAAAGCUCGUAGUUGAAUUUCGGGGUUCUACCGUUGGUCGGGCUUUGUCUGUACUGGUGUGUAGAAUUUCUACCUUCUGGGGAACCAUCAUGCUAUUAAUUUAGCGUGGUGGGAAACCAGGACCUUUACCUUGAAAAAAUUAGUGUGUUCAAAGCAGGCUUAUGUCUGAAUACAUUAGCGUGGAAUAAUAGAAUAGGACGGUGGUCCUGUUUUGUUGGUUUCUGAAUCACCGUAAUGAUUAAUAGGGAUAGUUGGGGGCAUUAGUAUUCAAUUGUCAGAGGUGAAAUUCUUGGAUUUAUUGAAGACUAACUUCUGCGAAAGCAUUUGCCAAGGAUGUUUUCAUUGAUCAAGAACGAAAGUUAGGGGAUCGAAGACGAUCAGAUACCGUCGUAGUCUUAACCAUAAACUAUGCCGACUAGGGGUCGGACGAUGUUAAUUUUUCUUGACUCGUUCGGCGCCUUACGGGAAAC
rnacentral:rRNA from 1 species